CUGGCUCAGAUUGAACGCUGGCGGCAGGCCUAACACAUGCAAGUCGAGCGGAAACGAGUUAUCUGAACCUUCGGGGAACGAUAACGGCGUCGAGCGGCGGACGGGUGAGUAAUGCCUAGGAAAUUGCCCUGAUGUGGGGGAUAACCAUUGGAAACGAUGGCUAAUACCGCAUGAUGCCUACGGGCCAAAGAGGGGGACCUUCGGGCCUCUCGCGUCAGGAUAUGCCUAGGUGGGAUUAGCUAGUUGGUGAGGUAAGGGCUCACCAAGGCGACGAUCCCUAGCUGGUCUGAGAGGAUGAUCAGCCACACUGGAACUGAGACACGGUCCAGACUCCUACGGGAGGCAGCAGUGGGGAAUAUUGCACAAUGGGCGCAAGCCUGAUGCAGCCAUGCCGCGUGUGUGAAGAAGGCCUUCGGGUUGUAAAGCACUUUCAGUCGUGAGGAAGGUAGUGUAGUUAAUAGCUGCAUUAUUUGACGUUAGCGACAGAAGAAGCACCGGCUAACUCCGUGCCAGCAGCCGCGGUAAUACGGAGGGUGCGAGCGUUAAUCGGAAUUACUGGGCGUAAAGCGCAUGCAGGUGGUUUGUUAAGUCAGAUGUGAAAGCCCGGGGCUCAACCUCGGAAUAGCAUUUGAAACUGGCAGACUAGAGUACUGUAGAGGGGGGUAGAAUUUCAGGUGUAGCGGUGAAAUGCGUAGAGAUCUGAAGGAAUACCGGUGGCGAAGGCGGCCCCCUGGACAGAUACUGACACUCAGAUGCGAAAGCGUGGGGAGCAAACAGGAUUAGAUACCCUGGUAGUCCACGCCGUAAACGAUGUCUACUUGGAGGUUGUGGCCUUGAGCCGUGGCUUUCGGAGCUAACGCGUUAAGUAGACCGCCUGGGGAGUACGGUCGCAAGAUUAAAACUCAAAUGAAUUGACGGGGGCCCGCACAAGCGGUGGAGCAUGUGGUUUAAUUCGAUGCAACGCGAAGAACCUUACCUACUCUUGACAUCCAGAGAACUUUCCAGAGAUGGAUUGGUGCCUUCGGGAACUCUGAGACAGGUGCUGCAUGGCUGUCGUCAGCUCGUGUUGUGAAAUGUUGGGUUAAGUCCCGCAACGAGCGCAACCCUUAUCCUUGUUUGCCAGCGAGUAAUGUCGGGAACUCCAGGGAGACUGCCGGUGAUAAACCGGAGGAAGGUGGGGACGACGUCAAGUCAUCAUGGCCCUUACGAGUAGGGCUACACACGUGCUACAAUGGCGCAUACAGAGGGCGGCCAACUUGCGAAAGUGAGCGAAUCCCAAAAAGUGCGUCGUAGUCCGGAUUGGAGUCUGCAACUCGACUCCAUGAAGUCGGAAUCGCUAGUAAUCGUGGAUCAGAAUGCCACGGUGAAUACGUUCCCGGGCCUUGUACACACCGCCCGUCACACCAUGGGAGUGGGCUGCAAAAGAAGUAGGUAGUUUAACCUUCGGG
rnacentral:rRNA from 1 species